GGGAGGGUUGGCUCAAGGGGUAGAGCAUGUGUUCUGCAUACAGAAGGACCCUGGUUCAAUUCUCAGCAUCCCA